rnacentral:tRNA from 1 species
CCUGAUGGCUUAGAUAGUAAAAGAGUCUGCCUGCAGUGCAGGAGACCCAGGUUCAAUCCCUGGGUCAGGA